rnacentral:lncRNA from 1 species
GCACAACAUAAUUAAGGUCAUAGAUCAUAAGAUAAUUAAGGUCAUUACACAAUUAUGGUCAUAGGUCAUACACUCAUACUUGAUCCCACCCAACAAAACCAUAUCUUAAAACUCUUAACUUGAAUGCAUCUUAGCCUCCGCUAGCUUGUCGUCAACAUACCAAUCUGCAAUUUAGGAAGAAAGAUCAAAAGUUAAAGAAAAAACAGACAAUAAUCCGCAGAGAUCUCAUGAAAUUGACAUAAUAAACAAGUAUCAUCUACCUUUAAAUAUAGAUUUAGAUUCCUGGUUUAGGACUUGGUCUGCAGAGAACUGGGAAAGGAUCCUUCUGCCCUAAGAAUUUGAUAACCUUGGCUUGGUACUCAACAAGAGGCCCAUCACGAUACUCCCGAGCCAUAAAAGUGAUGUAAAACCUCCACGCAGCUGCUCCCCUUUCAGUAGCUCUCACAACAUUUACCAAUUCCAAAGUCUUUUUCUGUGAAAAAUGUAUAAAAAUUCCAAAUGAACCAAAACACGAAAUUCGUGUCCAUUUUCUUAUAAAAAAAAAAAAGGUACUUCUUUCGACUCACUAACCUUGGUUUCGUUGUGUUUCUUAACACACACAUUAGCAAGCUUUGCCAUGAAAUCCCGAGUAGUGUUGUAGCCAUUCAUUUUUUCGUCUAGAUAAACAUUGUAGAUUCCGUUCAGAUGAUCA